GGGGAUUUAGCUCAGUGGUAGAGCGUUUGCCUAGCAAGCGCAAGGCCCUAGGUUCAGUCCCCA
rfam:Rattus norvegicus chromosome 6, whole genome shotgun sequence.